UCUUUAAUGGAGAGUUUGAUCCUGGCUCAGGACGAACGCUGGCGGCGUGCCUAAUACAUGCAAGUCGAGCGGACCCUUCGGGGUUAGCGGCGGACGGGUGAGU
rnacentral:rRNA from 1 species